UACAGAGGGGGCAAGCGUUGUUCGGAAUUACUGGGCGUAAAGGGCGCGUAGGCGGCCUGUUAAGUCGAACGUGAAAUCCCCGGGCUCAGCCCGGGAACUGCGUCCGAUACUGGCAGGCUUGAAUCCGGGAGAGGGAUGCGGAAUUCCAGGUGUAGCGGUGAAAUGCGUAGAUAUCUGGAGGAACACCGGUGGCGAAGGCGGCAUCCUGGACCGGCAUUGACGCUGAGGCGCGAAAGCCAGGGGAGCAAACGGG
rnacentral:rRNA from 1 species